UUCUCAAAGUUGGUUUUAGUGGGGAUCAGAGCUCAGGGUGUCUGAAUGGCAUACAUCUGAAGGCAAUAUGGGAAGUAUUGACUGCCAAGAUGAAGACUGUGUCUUUUCUGUGGGUCAGUUGUGGAUUUGCAUCCUCAGACCAGCUAAUUUGGCACCUUGCAGAAGGAACUUAAAGAUGUCAACUGUUUCCUGAAGAUAACACGCGAAAGGGACGCAGGCACAGGCAGACCAAUGGAAACGCAAAAGCAGCCACCGUCACCGGAGGAGAAAGCCAAGCCCUGCCUGCAGCCCUGCUCGCAGAGAGGAAGCAGCUGAAGGUAAACGUCUUCGUCACUAAAGGGGACGCUGUCCGUCACCUUGACAUUUCUGCCAGCUUUGCAAAGGUUUUACUCAGCGCUUCCUCACCUUCUAGCCACCCUGGGCCACUCCUGGCCGACCACCUCCGAAGACUGUUUUGCUUCCCUCGGCUGCUCUUUGUGAACUGCAGACAGCAGAGUCUGUCUAUUUUUGUCAGGGGACACCACUAACACAAGCAGAAUAACUGAGCCCUGUGCUAUUAAUGCUUCCUGCCAGAACCUCAGCUGCAAAUGCAGCUACAUAACCUGCUCCCUCCCCUGUGUUUCCAAAGAUUUUAGGUAAUCAUAGAAUAAGAGUGGAGCAAGAGCUACUUGUUCCUUUCUACUGCUAUU